UUGGAUUUUUGUUUUUAUUUGUUGCAAAUCCAAUUCCACGUUGCUGAUUUUGCAAUUAAUAUUUUACCGGUGGGUUUUAGUUAGUACAUAAAUUGAAUGUUGUCAAAUUAAAUCUGCAAGAAAGAUAAUAGGACUAAUCCUAUAUACCAACACCUUGUUAUUAAGAUUCAAUCUAAAAGAAAAAUACCUAAUUCCUUCAACAGGCAACAACAUUUUAGGUAUCUGGAUUUUCAACAAAAUUAGGCAAAAAAUUUCAUACUACAGUAAAACCUGUUUAUAACGAACUCCUUAGGACCAUUCAAAUUUGUUAUAAGCGAUGUUCCUAAUAAGACGCGUUUUGUUGUUCAAAAAUAAAGUGAUAAUUUACGAAAUUAAAAAAAUAUAUGAAUUACAUAUGUAUGUACACUGAAAAU